rnacentral:rRNA from 1 species
AACGAACGCUGGCGGCGUGCCUAACACAUGCAAGUCGUACGUGAAAUUCGCCUUCGGGCGAAGAGUAAAGUGGCGCACGGGUGAGUAUCGCGUGGGUAAUCUGCCCUGGGAUCUGGGAUAACCAACCGAAAGGCUGGCUAAUACCGGAUAACGUCAUCCCACACAAGUGGUUUGACCAAAGGUGGCCCUGCUACCGACUCAGGAUGAGCCCGCGUACCAUUAGCUAGUUGGUAGGGUAACGGCCUACCAAGGCGACGAUGGUUAGCUGGUCUGAGAGGACGAUCAGCCACACUGGAACUGAGACACGGUCCAGACUCCUACGGGAGGCAGCAGUGGGGAAUAUUGCGCAAUGGGGGAAACCCUGACGCAGCAACGCCGCGUGAGUGAUGAAGGCUUUCGGGUCGUAAAGCUCUGUCAAGUGGGAAGAACCCACAUGGUGAUAAUACCGCCAUGUGCUGACGGUACCACUAAAGGAAGCACCGGCUAACUCCGUG